rnacentral:misc_RNA from 1 species
GAUGAAGAACGUAGCGAAAUGCGAUAAGUAAUGUGAAUUGCAGAAUUCAGUGAAUCAUCGGAUCUUUGAACGCACCUUGCGCCCUUUGGCUAUUCCGAAGGGCAUGCCUGUUUGAGUAUCAUGAACACCUCAACUCUCAUGGUUUGCCAUGAUGAGCUUGGACUCUGGGGGUCUUGCUGGCCUAUGGUCAGCUCCUCUCAAAUAAAUCAGCUUGCCAGUGUUUGGUGGCAUCACAGGUGUGAUAACUAUCUACGCUUGUGGUUUUCCAUCAGGUAACCUUCAGUGAUGGAGGUUCGCUGGAGCUCAUAAAUGUCCCUCCUCAGCGAGGACAGCUUUUUGAACGUUUGAUCUCAAAUCAGGUAGGACUACCCGCUGAACUUAAGCAUAUCAAUAAGCGGAGGA